rnacentral:lncRNA from 1 species
AAUGAUAUGUUGUUAAUAGGACGAUAGCAAUAUCGAGUAUAGAUCAUUGUAUACCAUAUGAGUUGGUUAUUUCUUAACCAAAAAGUAUGGAGAUACUGGUAUGGUAUGCAGGUGGAAUAUAGGAGUACAUUCACAUCGAAUGUGACUAUUUAUCGAGCACUCUGUUGUCAAGAGUUGCUCGUGAAGGAUAUGGGUAUAAGUGUCCCUCAGACCUGAGAUCACCACAGUGACUUGUAAGCAACUCACUAUACUUUAGCACCAGACCAUUUAAGUUUAUAAUUCAGUGACGGAAGAUUUUUGGGUGCAGUUAAGUACUUAUCAAGUCGGUGCAUGCGUCAAGAUGGAAUUGACUCCUCUAAAUUAGUAGGAGAUAUGCAGCAGUGUAUUUCAAUUUAGUAAAACUUUGGCC